GUAAAGCAGGGUUCUUCAUUGUUUGUAUCCUUGUCUGCAGUUUUGGUUCUUGGACCUCAUCUUCGAGACAAUAAUUAUUCUACCUCGUAAUGUGUUGAUUGUUUUCUUGUCCAGGACCUGUGGCUUUGCUUCUCCUCAUGGUGUCAAUUGGGUUCCUAAGAAUCUAGUCCAUCCUGCACAAUAUUUCCUGUACCAUAGCCUCUAUAUUUUCACACUAGUGUCCAUCCAGAACCGUUGCUCCAUUUCCUUUUCUCUCUAUUGCCUCAAUUAUUGCAAGAUUCUCUCCGCAGCAUCCCCUCAAUCCACCAUUCUCAUUUAGCCAUGAAAUACUCCCUAGUAAAAGGAGCUAUUAAUAGAAGAUGGAUACCUUCCCCCAUACUCUCUAGUCUCUAUAUUAAUAGAAGAUAUACUAGCUAUUAAAGGAUACUCAUGUGGUGUCGGAAGUAUAGAAUUACAAUUUUAAUAAUGAAGUUAUGAGAAAAUCUAGCAAUCAAGUGAAUUAGUGGGGAUAUAUCUUAGAAUCUACUGUCUAGACUCAGUGGACACUUCUGUCUGACUUUCCUUGAAAAGAAAAAUAUAAAGAUUUUUAAUUAAAAAACAAGGUUAUUUUGUUCAUAGUGGCAUUUGACGGCAUCAGUGUUCAUAACAAUGCCAAGUGUCUCAAAGUAUAUUGUUAUUUUACCAAGGGUUGUAAAUUGGAAAUUGCAAAAACUUAUAUGUUUGAAAGCUGUCAAGAACUUUAAUAACUUUACAUCGAUCACAUUUGCCAAUGUUUUGUUUUUCUCCAGUGUCGGAGGUGAUCUUUACAAUAACCUCAGCUGUAAAGGAUGUAUGUGGAAAGCCUCCAACUGAGCCCCGUUUCCUUGAUAAGUAUGGAAGAAUUUGCUUGUGCUAGGAUGAAAUUGUAUGGAAGGGAUAUUUGGAAAAUACAGAAAAAGAAAGAAUCAAGAGACUGAUAAGGUUGAAGCCUCCUACCGAAUUUUGAAUGAGAAAUCCUGACAGUCAUUAGAAUCAGCAGUUUGAGGUGUGUUGAGCAUCAUGUGAGUUAUAAUGGCAAGAUACCGAGGUCAGGCAAACCUCUGAAUAUGAUAAAUUUUUCUCUAGUAUGGUGCAUGUGAGGAUUUUGCUCGACCAAUAAAUAUUUGUAUAACAUUCUCAAAUUAUACAUCUUUUAUGUUGUAACAUCUA